rnacentral:rRNA from 1 species
AGGACGAACGCUGGCGGCGUGCCUAACACAUGCAAGUCGAGCGAUGAAGCCCUUCGGGGUUGAUUAGCGGCGGACGGGUGAGUAACACGUGGGUAACCUGCCUCAUAGAGGGGGAUAGCCUCCCGAAAGGGAGAUUAAUACCGCAUAACAUAUUUGGUUGCAUGACUGAAAUAUCAAAGGAGUAAUCCGCUAUGAGAUGGACCCGCGGCGCAUUAGCUAGUUGGUGAGGUAAGGGCUCACCAAGGCGACGAUGCGUAGCCGACCUGAGAGGGUGAUCGGCCACAUUGGAACUGAGACACGGUCCAGACUCCUACGGGAGGCAGCAGUGGGGAAUAUUGCGCAAUGGAGGAAACUCUGACGCAGCCAACGCCGCGUGAAUGAUGAAGGCCUUAGGGUUGUAAAGUUCUGUCUUCUGGGACGAUAAUGACGGUACCAGAGGAGGAAGCCACGGCUAACUACGUGCCAGCAGCUGC